AUACGGAGGAUCCGAGCGUUAUCCGGAUUUAUUGGGUUUAAAGGGUGCGCAGGCGGCCAUUUAAGUCAGCGGUUAAAUCGUGGGGCUCAACCCCAUUCUGCCGUUGAUACUGGGUGGCUUGAUUGCGGUCGAGGUUGGCGGAAUUCGUUGUGUAGCGGUGAAAUGCAUAGAUAUGACGAAGAACACCGAUUGCGUAGGCAGCUGACCAGACCGCAAAUGACGCUCAUGCACGAAAGUGCGGGGAUCGAACAGGAUUAGAUACCCUGGUAGUCCGCACAGUAAACGAUGGAUACUUGUUUUCGGCGAUAUAAUGUCGGAGGCAAAGCGAAAGCGAUAAGUAUUCCACCUGGGGAGUACGCCGGCAACGGUGAAACUCAAAGGAAUUGACGGGG
rnacentral:rRNA from 1 species